rnacentral:rRNA from 1 species
CACGUAGGCGGGACCUUAAGUCAGAUGUGAAAGACCGUGGCUCAACCACGGGGUUGCAUAUGAAACUGGGGUUCUUGAGGGCAGGAGAGGAAAGUGGAAUUCCUGGUGUAGCGGUGAAAUGCGUAGAAAUCAGGAGGAACACCGGUGGCGAAGGCGACUUUCUGGACUGACCCUGACGCUGAGGUGCGAAAGCGUGGGUAGCAAACA